AUUGAACGCUGGCGGCAUGCCUUACACAUGCAAGUCGAACGGUAACAGGUCUUCGGAUGCUGACGAGUGGCGAACGGGUGAGUAAUACAUCGGAACGUGCCCGAGAGUGGGGGAUAACGAGGCGAAAGCUUUGCUAAUACCGCAUACGAUCUCAGGAUGAAAGCAGGGGACCGCAAGGCCUUGCGCUCACGGAGCGGCCGAUGGCAGAUUAGGUAGUUGGUGGGAGAAAAGCUUACCAAGCCGACGAUCCGUAGCUGGUCUGAGAGGACGACCAGCCACACUGGGACUGAGACACGGACCAGACUACGACGGGAGGCAGCAGUGGGGAAUUGUGGACAAUGGGCGCAAGCCUGAUCCAGCCAUGCCGCGUGCAGGAUGAAGGCCUUCGGGUUGUAAGCUGCUUUUGUACGGAACGAAAAGACUCUGGUUAAUACCUGGGGUCCAUGACGGUACCGUAAGAAUAAGCACCGGCUAACUACGUGCCAGCCGCCGCGGUAAUAC
rnacentral:rRNA from 1 species